rnacentral:rRNA from 1 species
UACAGAGGUCUCAAGCGUUGUUCGGAUUCAUUGGGCGUAAGGAGCGUGUAGGCGGCCAUGUAGGUCCGGUGUGAAAACUCGAGGCUUAACCUCGAGAUGUCAUCGGAAACCAUUUGGCUAGAGUCCGGAAGAGGAGAGUGGAAUUCCUGGUGUAGCGGUGAAAUGCGUAGAGAUGUGGAGGAAUACCGAUGGCGAAGGCAGCCCCCUGGGAUAACACUGACGCUCAUGCACGAAAGCGUGGGGAGCAAACAGG